AACGAACGCUGGCGGCAUGCCUAACACAUGCAAGUCGAACGAGACCUUCGGGUCUAGUGGCGCACUGGUGCGUAACGCGUUGGAACCUGCCCUUAGGUUCGGAAUAACUCCCCGAAAGGGGUUCUAAUACCGGAUAAUGUCUUCGGACCAAAGAUUUAUCGCCUUUGGAUGGGCCCGCGUUGGAUUAGCUAGUUGGUAGGGUAAAAGCCUACCAAGGCUACGAUCCAUAGCUGGUCUGAGAGGAUGAUCAGCCACACUGGGACUGAGACACGGCCCAGACUACUACGGGAGGGAGCAGUGGGGAAUAUUGGACAAUGGGCGAAAGCCUGAACCAGCAAGGCCGCGUGAGUGAUGAAGGCCGUAGGGUUGUAAAGCUCGUUUACCCGGGAUGAUAAUGACAGUACCGGGAGAAUAAGCGCCGGCUAACUCCGUG
rnacentral:rRNA from 1 species